rnacentral:rRNA from 1 species
AACGAACGCUGGCGGCAGGCCUAAUACAUGCAAGUCGAACGCUCCAGCAAUGGAGAGUGGCAGACGGGUGAGUAACGCGUGGGAACCUUCCCAGUGGUACGGAAUAGCUCAGGGAAACUUGAGGUAAUACCGUAUACGCCCUUCGGGGGAAAGAUUUAUCGCCAUAGGAUGGGCCCGCGUCGGAUUAGCUAGUUGGUGGGGUAAUGGCCCACCAAGGCGACGAUCCGUAGCUGGUCUGAGAGGAUGAUCAGCCACACUGGGACUGAGACACGGCCCAGACUCCUACGGGAGGCAGCAGUAGGGAAUAUUGGACAAUGGGCGCAAGCCUGAUCCAGCCAUGCCGCGUGAGUGACGAAGGCCUUCGGGUUGUAAAGCUCUUUUGGCGGGGACGAUAAUGACGGUACCCGCAGAAUAAGCUCCGGCUAACUUCGUGCCAGCCGCCGCCGUAAUAC